AAGGUCACACCCAGCAAUGCUCAGGGUUUACUCAGGCUUUGCUUUCAAGAAUCACUCCUGGCAGUGCUGGAGGACCAUAUGGGAUUUCGGGAAUCGAACCCAGAAAAAAAGAAUUUAUGCCUCACCUCUCCAGAUUCCAAGCAUCUCCACUGUCCAUCUCUCCAAGACCAGGGGUGUGCCCUGCUGUUGAAGACACAGCAGUAAUGCUCAGGUGUUAUUUCUGGCUUGGCACGCAGGAAUCACUCCUGGCAGUACUUGGGGGACUGUAUGUGAUGCUGGGGACCAAGCAUUUGCCCUGCCAACUGUACUGUCACUCUGACUCCAAGUGUAAUUUUUCAUUCUCUUUUUCUUUUAUA